rnacentral:piRNA from 1 species
CUUCCUGUCAGGGGUCGCAAUGCUGC